UGACAGGUGGUGCAUGGUUGUCGUCAGCUCGUGUCGUGAGAUGUGGGUUAAGUCCCGCAACGAGCGCAACCCUCGACCUUAGUUGCCAGCAUUCAGUUGGGCACUCUAAGGUGACUGCCGGCUAAAAAGUCGGAGGAAGGUGGGGAUGACGUCAAAUCAUCAUGCCCCUUAUGACCUGGGCUACACACGUGCUACAAUGGGCGGUACAAAGGGUCGCGAACCCGCGAGGGGGAGCCAAUCCCAAAAAGCCGCUCUCAGUUCGGAUUGCAGGCUGCAACUCGCCUGCAUGAAGCCGGAAUCGCUAGUAAUCGCGGAUCAGCAUGCCGCGGUGAAUACGUUCCCGGGCCUU
rnacentral:rRNA from 1 species